CUGGCCAGUCCGGGGGAGGGGAGGGAGGUCAUUGCCAGUUUCCAGUAUGGGUGGAGUCUAAUCUGAGGCUUGAAUGGAGAACUAGAAAUUAACCAAAUGGAGCAGGAGUAAACAAGGGGCCUGGAAGAAGGCAGGACUACGAGUGAAGAUUCCAGCCAUGGUGUUUCAGCAGUCCAGGCUGCAAAUGAUGGCUGCCUGGAAGAGGACACGGGAAGAGGCAGAGCUGAGUGAAGGGAGUUUAGGAGGAGGCAGAGUGAAGAGGAGGGGUGGGAGUGGGAGCAGGGAGGAACCUGCGGUGGCUGCCAGUUUCAACAGGAGGCACACCCAGAAGGGUGGGAACUCUAUCUACUCCUAGCACUUGUUCCGGGGUGGUGCCCACCCUCAGGCUCCCGGCCGCCAACUGAGUUCACUAAAAGCCCCUGCCCUCCCAUCAACCUUGUGGCCCACUGGUUGGCAGUGGCAAACCAGUUCCACCAACAUUUACUAAGCAGCUGUUAUGUGUCAGGAACCAGGGGGGCUUCUCCCUGCCUCACCUAGGGGAGUUUCAACCAGAUGACUGAGAGGUUCCAGAGCAGGGAGGGGAGGCUGAGGGUCGGCAGAGAGAAGGGAAAUGCUGUGGACACAUAGCCUCUGUUCAGGCCCUCUCUCUUCCCCCAGCACCGGAGGAACCUCACCCCUGACCUCUCACCCCCAUGACAGGAAAGGUACAAGGGACAUCUGCAGGGCCUUAGACAAAGCCCCUGGGCCCCCACCUCUACUGGAACAGGCAGCCACCCUGGUCUCUUUCCAUUCUGCAAGUUCUGUGCUCCCUCUGCUGUGAGAUCUAGGAUGAAGGGGGAGAGCUGCCUGCAUGCUGACCCACAGGACUUGCCACCUGCAUCCAAGAGAUUCACUCCAUGGAAUUGAGGCGUUUUCCCAGAGGCUCUCGUGCACAGGGAGACAGAACUCACCACUGUCUGGGGAAUAUAAUUUCUUACCAGUUCACUAUCGCAGGAGUGCAGGUGAAUUAUAGGAUUGCUGUCCUCUGAGCCUAGAAGAGAGGCCUGCUUUAUAGAAAGGUCAUAUGCCACCUUCUUGAUGACUACAUGGUCACUUAGCCUUGCUCCCUGGACACCCUGCUCCCUGCCAGCUCCUACUCCCUGGAGAAGUCACUUCCCAGAAGGAUGCUGUUCUCUUGGUUAUUUGGCUGGACCGGGCUGCUGAGGGGAAGGUCUGCUGGGGAAAAGUCUGGACAAAGACAGAAGGAUCAACUGGAGCCCUAACGAGACUGGGCUCAGAACAGCAGAGGAGAAAUUUUAGUCGCACAUUGAGGACUGGAGAAGAGAAAGCUUGUGCUCUACAGACAGCUUCUCCUUGAAGAUGAGGAAAUGGAGAACAAGGAGGAGGAGCCACGGGAUCAUCAGGACUCUGGAAAAGGGGCAGAGACUUCCAGGAACAGUUGGUACAUGCGCAGUUCUCCAAACUCCUGUGCACAUGGCGCCAAGGUGCCUAGCAAGGUACAAUAAACUCUGUGCUACAGAAGAUCCCAAGCCACCAAUGCCUCUUGGAGCUCUCUCAUCCAGAGGCUCCCCAUCAUGAUGAACAUCAUCAUCUAUACAGGAAAGAGCCUCUCCAUCUCCCUCUCCCAAAGAUGCUGAAUCGAUUUCCCCAGUCUUUGAGUCUGGCCUUCUCUUGUGACUUGCUUUGAGCAGCAGAAUGUGGCAGAAGGGCUACUGCAUGAGUUCCAGAGCUGGGGUCUCUAGACCCCUGCAGCUUCUGCUUUUCAUCAGAAUACAGCCGGCAGACCACAGAAGAAGGCAGCAAGUCCAGCCUCCUGGAGGUUAAUUUGCAGGCCCUCAUUCACUGGACCCAAGUUGGGAGAGGAAGAGUUUUCCUCCCAAUAGAGGCUAUGUGGAAAAGAAUAGAGAAGCCCCAACAUAUAGCCAGUCCCAAGACUCUAGAAGAAGUCUGGGUGAGGCUAUCUUGGAUCUUCCAGCCCAGCUAAGCCCAGUCAGCAGCUGAAUGUAUCUACAUGAGAGCCCAGGCAAGACCAGCAGAACUGCCCAAUCAAUCCAAAGAAUUGUGAGAGAUAAUAAAUAUUUGUUGUUUUAAACCACUAAGUUUUGGGGUGAUUUGUUAUAUAGCACUAGGUAACUAAUAAACUCAGAGUUUCCAUUUCCUACACACUCUGUACUUUUCUCGUUCUGUUUCCUGCUUGGAACGCUCCCAUCAUGGCCCUA
ensembl:lncRNA